UGCUCCUAUCGUAUAACGGCUAUUACGGUUGCCUUGUAAGCAACUUAUCAGGGUUCGAGUCCUUGUGGGAGCACCAA
rnacentral:tRNA from 1 species